rnacentral:rRNA from 1 species
AUUGAACGCUGGCGGCAGGCCUAACACAUGCAAGUCGAGCGGCAGCGGGAAAGUAGCUUGCUACUUUUGCCGGCGAGCGGCGGACGGGUGAGUAAUGCCUGGGGAUCUGCCCAGUCGAGGGGGAUAACUACUGGAAACGGUAGCUAAUACCGCAUACGUCCUACGGGGGAAAGCAGGGGACCUUCGGGCCUUGCGCGAUUGGAUGAACCCAGGUGGGAUUAGCUAGUUGGUGAGGUAAUGGCUCACCAAGGCGACGAUCCCUAGCUGGUCUGAGAGGAUGAUCAGCCACACUGGAACUGAGACACGGUCCAGACUCCUACGGGAGGCAGCAGUGGGGAAUAUUGCACAAUGGGGGAAACCCUGAUGCAGCCAUGCCGCGUGUGUGAAGAAGGCCUUCGGGUUGUAAAGCACUUUCAGCGAGGAGGAAAGGUUGGUAGCUAAUAACUGCCAGCUGUGACGUUACUCGCAGAAGAAGCACCGGCUAACUCCGUGCCAGCCGCCGCCGUAAAAC